rnacentral:rRNA from 1 species
UACGGAGGGGGUUAGCGUUGUUCGGAAUUACUGGGCGUAAAGCGCGCGUAGGCGGAUUAGAAAGUUGGGGGUGAAAUCCCGGGGCUCAACCUCGGAACUGCCUCCAAAACUGCUAGUCUAGAGUUCGAGAGAGGUGAGUGGAAUUCCGAGUGUAGAGGCGAAAUUCGUAGAUAUUCGGAGGAACACCAGUGGCGAAGGCGGCUCACUGGCUCGAUACUGACGCUGAGGUGCGAAAGUGUGGGGAGCAAACAGG